CUUCCUUCCUUCCUUCCUUUGGAGAGCUGCAGGAAGUGGGAAUUAAACAAUGGCAUCUCCCACCAAGUUUUCUCCCUGCCCAAUCUUCCUCUGCAUUCACCCCCCAGCACAGGAAAGCAGGGCUCUGAGUCUAAACUAAACCCCAGUCCAAUAUCCGGGCUGGAACUUUAAGGGGGCUUCCUGUGGGACCCGGCAGGGGUGGGCCAACUCUGAGUCAGACUUCUGGGGCUGUAGCAUCAGGGGCCCUAGCUAGUGGAAGUCCACUGGGCCUACUACCCCUCAGGGGACAGGCCCUGGAUCUUGGUGGUUGGAGCAGGUGGAGAGGGCAGUGGCUGAGAUCCAGCCUCCAAGUGAGUGUGUGCGCUGGUGAGUGCCGGCCAGCUCAGAGGUCUCUCUGGAGUGAGUGUGUGCGCUGGUGAGUGCCAGUCAGCUCAGAGGUCCCUCUGGAGCUGCAGCAGGGCGUGGGUUUCCCUCCUUCCUUACUGCAAGCCCCUCUCCUGGAAUGCACCCCUCCCCUAGAGGUCCCACACCUUGGGCUAUCUGGCAAGCAAAAACAGGCUACUUUCUCCUGCUGGGUGCUCCUUCCCCGGGCAAAACACACUUAGUUGCUGGGAGGGUGAAGUCUGGGGCUGAUCCCUGGGGGCCAGAAGGGGGCCUGGGAGAGACAGAAGGAAAGCAGCAAGCCAGUCCUCCAACCUGUAAGGGAAACACUGACUUUUUUUUUGUUCUGAGAGGAAAGCCCUGUACUUAACACAGAGCGGCCCACUUCCCCAUGGGUGAAGCUUGGAUUCCAGGCUGCCAGUUGCACUGGAGGAGCAGUGGGUCCCAGCUGGGCACUGAGCACAGUCAGGCUUCUCUUCAUCCUCGCAUAGAUGGUUGGGCCUGGAGGCUGGCCCUGGACUUUUGGGGUCUCAGGGCAGGCAGUACUUGGUCGUGAGAGGCUGUAGUCUUGCCCCUCUGGCCCCACUGAGACUAUCUGAUGGUAGAGGCCAUGAACCAGGCCUUGGGAGCUAUUUCUAAGAAGACAGCUGCAGCCCCACUCCAGCUCCUGUGCCCCAAGAAGAAGAGCUUUGCAGGGACCCCAUCCUCCAAAAUAGAACCCCGGACUUUCUAAUGAUCUCGCUCCAACCAGCAGAGCCAUCUUUCAGUCUGGGUCUGCUUCCUCUUUCUUUUCUCUUGGCCUUUUUUUCGGUAUCAAGAGAACACGCUCUCCCCUUCUCUCUCUCCAUUCUCUCCCAGCCUCUCUCCCGCCCCUCCAUAUCCCACCUCCUUUUUGUUAGCCUAAUACGGGUUACUUUAGAAUUGGCCCGACUUUGGCAGCCCCAGCGCUGCGUGUGUGUGUGUGUGCCUGCGUGUGUGUGUGCGCGUGUGUGUGUGUGUGCCUGCGCGUGUAUUUCUCGCUUGCUAAUGAUUGUGUGUUGAUAGAGUGAUGCAGUGGCCUCAUUAGCCUUUGUUUAGAAGGUGUUAAAAGGGAAAUCUGCAUCGGGAAAGCGGCGGUUUACGCAGCAGCCCGGCUGAACACCGCGAGCCAAGGGGCUGGGGGGCGGGGACGGUGCCCACCCCCCAGGCCCCCACUCUUCCCCCAGGCGCCCACCGCCGCGGACCCCGGGAGGGAGGAGGGGUCCGGGGAAAGCGACCCCAGCUCCUUCCUCCCAAGGCGAGUAUGUUUACCCUGCUGGGCACCCUUCCGCUCCGCGGGGACCACUGCGGGAUCGCGCUCUCUAAAACUCCUCUCAACUGCCCCGCAGUGCGCGGCGGCCUUUUCCGCCAGGUUUUUUGGGGAGGGGGAAGGGGAGGACAGAGUGCUUCCCCUUCGAAAAAAUUCCAAGGGAUGUUUUUGAGGGUAGGGGUGAAGUAUCUUAUUUUAGAGGCAAAUACAAAUCGGUCCGCAGAAGCCGGGGUCUUCUGGGUGGUUGGUUGGGGGUGAGCUCCCUGUACCCCGAUGCCCAUGUGGGGGCCCCAGGCUUUAGGGAACCUGCGAAAAGGCCUCUUUCUUUCCUCCUAUGGUAUUCACAGACAGCCACAGGAAGAGCCUUCCGUGCGUGGGCGGGGGUUGGAGAGGGUUCAUUCUUAAACUUUCUUUCCCAGGUCUACCCCUACCCUAGGGCCCCACUUCGGGAACAAAUUCCGUGAGAAUAAAAUCAUAGCUAGGCUGGCCUACUUCCCUAAAGCUUGGUGGAAGCGAGUAACUUUAUUGAGUCUGGGCUAGAGGGUGUGUGUGUGUUUGUGUGUGUGUGCGUGCGUGUGUGGUGUUUGUUUACAUAUGUGUGUGGGAUUUGGCGAGUGAGCUUCGUGCACGGCAUUUUUCACCCUCUGGAAGAAGCCAGAUUUCGGGCAAGGUAGAACGUGAGAAGAAUCCCUUUUAUACUGGCUCCUACGAAAGGAACCAGAAAAAAAAAUAAUACACAUUUUGAGCAGCCUCUGUGGGUGCAGCUUGUUGAACUCGGAGCCAGACGCUUUUUCUGGCGAAACGGAGAAAAAACGCCGCGGAAACGGUGCGCAGGGUUGGGGAGUAUAGGUUCUGAUUGCAACAUAAUUCCGCAAGCUUUUUUAUUUUUUAUUUUUCCCGGGACGCGGUUGCGUCGGAAGAAACGCUUUCUAAUCUUUCUAGCUCCCUGGAUUUGAAGUUGCGGGUCUUGGGGCGAGGCUUAGCUGGUCUGGGGGUCCUUGCGUGUCCACAGCCCCGGAUACGCACCCGCGAAACGUUCGACAUCGCCGCUUUUUUGUUUUGUUUUGCUUUGUUUUUUUAGUCGAAGGCGAGGCGUUGUUUGGGGACAGAUCGCGGCCGGCUGGGGCCUCGGGCAGUGACAGUGAAACGAAUUCCAAACCCAUUCUGAACUCGCCAUGGCGCUCUCCUGCCCUCCAACACCCACCCCAAACACCGUGUUUGCCGGAGAAGGCAGGGGUGAGCCACGGUGGCUGCCCGGCUGUGCACCGGCGCCGGAGUUUGGACCAAGACAAAGACAGGAGCUGUCCGCGGUGCUGAAUCGGCGGCGCCGUCGCCGGAGCAAGGGGGCUUCUGUAACCAGCCCUCUGCUCAUUUACUCCCCAUCCUUCUAGCUCCCCUUCGCUCUGUGACUCUUGCCUUCCCCUGAAUUUAUUUCCCUUUUGGGGGACUCACCUUAGAACCUGCGCCCUGUACACAGGUGUAUAUACAUAUAUCAAAGAACAAAACGAUUGAUUGAAAACGGUGUCUUCUCCUUUCUUCCCAAAUAAAUGAUGUUAGAAAGGUUUAUUUUAACUGUACCCUAAAACGGAGAGAAAUGGAUAUUUCUACUCCUAAAUAAAUGGAAAUUCAUGUUAAAAACAAUAGAGCUAACCUAUAACAAAUGUCACGAAUCUGCCCUCUGAUUUAUUCUGAUA
rnacentral:lncRNA from 1 species